rnacentral:misc_RNA from 1 species
CCGAGUUCAUGCCCUUACGGGUAGAUCUCCCACCCUUUGUAUACCUUACCUUUGUUGCUUUGGCGGGCCGCCUAGCUACUGGCUUCGGCUGGUAAGUGCCCGCCAGAGGACCCCAAACCCUGAAUUAUUUUGUGUCGUCUGAGUAAAAUAUUUAAUAUUUA